AGACCCCACCACACACACACAUACACAGAGAGAGAGCGAGGGAGAGAGACAGAGAGAGAGAGAGAGAGAGAGAGAGAGAUAGACUGCUGUGAAACAUGUGAUAGUGCAACUUUGGCGGGGCUUAGAGGGAGUUUAACGGCUGUAGUGUCUCCAGAGCUCUGGGAAAGCACCUUUAGCCCAGAGGGAGCCUCACAAGCUGUCUGUGUGUGUGUGUGUGUGUGUCUUUUUGUGCGUACGUGAAAGUGUGUGCUUCUGUGUGUGAGUGAGAGAGCCGGUUUUUCAGUGCUGCUGCUGUCACUUUAAGCCUGUUACUGAUUACACUCAGAAGAAUGCAACGGGAGGAGGCUAAAAAGACAGGGAAACAGAUGAGGAGACAUGUAAGGAUGAAAUCUCUCAGAAGCUGAGCUAUGGCGAGCUUUAUGUCACUUGCCCUCACGGUCCUGGGCAGUGACGUGGGUGAGACACCGUUACCCAACAUCGUCUCUCCCUCCCUCUCUCUCUCGUUCACUCUCUGUUGGACCAAGCAAAGUCAAAGUGAAAGGGAACCCGGAAUCCCUCUUUGAAGCAGAGACAGAGCGAGAGGACGCCCAGAAACACUGGGAAAAACUUAAAGAAAAGACACCAGAGAGGAAGAAAUUCGAGUGGAGGUUGAGGGAAGGGGUGUGCAUAUGUGGGGGGGUUCCCUCAUUCCAAACUCAGCGCUGGGAGGAAACACUACUCUCACCCAGACGGGUAAGUGAAAAAAGAAAGAAAAAAGAAAAGAAAGGGAAAAGAUUCCCAGAAAGUAGGGGAGCUGCUGCUGCUGCUGUUGAUGGAUAUCAUAUGUUACAAGUUAAGGUUGAGAAACUGCUCCCAGAUCCUUAAUAGGUGGAGAGGAAGAGCAGUCUGUAGGCUGUCGGCAAACUCUCACACAGCCUGAAGUAGUGAAGUUGUGCU
ensembl:lncRNA